UACGAAGGGGGCUAGCGUUGUUCGGAAUUACUGGGCGUAAAGCGCGCGCAGGCGGUCUUCCAAGUCAGUGGUGAAAGCCCGGAGCUCAACUCCGGAAUUGCCAUUGAAACUGUUAGACUUGAGGAUGAGAGAGGUGAGUGGAAUUCCCAGCGUAGAGGUGAAAUUCGUAGAUAUUGGGAAGAACACCGGUGGCGAAGGCGGCUCACUGGCUCAUUACUGACGCUCAGGCGCGAUAGCGUGGGGAUCAAACAGG
rnacentral:rRNA from 1 species